CUUUCCCCUAUGCUGCUCUCCAACAGCUCAUUCCCCAACUUACACUGGAACCUGGGGUUGUUCCUGCCCAGAUUCAAGACUCUACAUUUGCCCUUGUUACGUUUCAUUAAAUUUCUCCCUGCCCAGCUCUCCAGCCUGUCCAGGUCUAUGGAUGGCAGCACAGCUUUCAGUGUCAGCCGCUCCUCCUAGCUUGGUGUCAUUGGCAGACUUGCUGGUAGUGCUCUCUAUUCCCGUGUUCAUGGCCAAAGCCAAGGAUGAGGCACAACAGCAGGCCAGGGACAGGGUGUGCUGUCAGCAGGCUGUCACUUCACCACAAUAUGGGCACUGAACAGCCAAAAAGUGACACUGGUCAUGAUUAACCUCUGCCCAGCUGCAGUCAGGCCACCCUGUGCCUCAUGAGUGCCUUGGGGGAAAACUCAGAGUCCCACAGGCUACCAGGGCCUUUCAUUUGACUUUUGCACUGGGUUGUGUUUUUACCUGGUGGGUUUUAGUAGAAAAAAGAAGACAGGCUUGUCUCUAAAAUGUCUCUUUCCACCUCCUAGCUCCUUGCAGCUGUCCCUGAGAACCUUCCUCGUUUCUCCCACCAGCAUGUCCCGUCACCAAACCCAGUGUGGGAUGGCAGAAUUCACAUGAUGGUGUAAUUAACACAUUUAGGGUUUUAUUCCUUUGGGAAAAUGUCUCAUUUUAUAACCUCAGUUGCUGGAUUCUUUGUGACCAAGGGCAAUGUGAGAGCUGACCUGGUUUGUGUCGAGUGGACUCUGGGACUAAAAUGUGUGAUGACCCUUGAAGAGUAUUUGGUGAGCAGGCACGACUGAGUGGGCUGUUGGAUCUACGCACUAAACUGAGAAAGAAAACCACCAAAAAUUAUGUGACUGUGUUAGUGCUGCUUAAUUAAAUUGCAUGAAAGCAGAGCAGAAUGUCAAGGUUUAAGGACAACAUAAAACAUCAACUCUUUUUAAUAUAUUAGGAAAAAAUAAUAUUGAAAAAUUGUUUGAGUGUUUAACUCAAAGGUGGAGCUUGUUCUGAGGCAGAGUGAGAACAAAUUUUGAAAUGUUGAAAGCUUUACUGAAACAAGUUUCUCAGCUUUCAGCAGAGCUUGAAUGGAGCUAAAAGAUCCUAAGUUUUAUUUGACAAGACAAACUUGUUGCUAGUAAUAGAUGUACUACAUUUAUGGUGUUCUUAUAUUUGCAGGAUAUAGGCUGGUAGGAGCCAGUGAGAUCUUUUGCUUGCACAACCACCUCAGUUGGCCUAGUAAAAAUGAGAUCUCAAAGCUUUCCUUACAGAACAGUAGGAAUUUUUAACAAAAAGCAAACAUUGCUGUAGGGGAAUAAGUCUCCCCUAAAAACUGUUCAGUGAAAUCAUAACUUUCAGUUAAGAAAAGUCUUUGGGAAGGCUGGGAGUUACUCAGCUACUGCUGCUGACCACUCCAAUUGGGGAGAAAAAGUGGUUUUGUAAAACUAAUUUAGGCCAUAUGAACUCAAAAAAUACAUUGGUAUUUCCAAAAUGCUGAGUUUCAAGGUUCUGUAACCAAUAACUAGGUAUUGUAUCAGUUCAGUGUGUUUGGAUUGUAGUCUUUGAAUGUGUUUUUUUUUUUAUUCAUAGAAUGGAAAGAAAUUAGACUUUGAAGGCAAUUGAUGGUAUGACAAGUAGAGGUGCAGAGAGAUCCAUGACACAGCCUUCUGGAUCUGGUGAGCUGACACAGAUCAAACAAAAUACAUUUGCGAGGUCAGAUGUUUAGAAACAAAAGAUGUAGGAAGUGCUGAUGGCCUGUGGGAGGUUAUAAUUUAGAUAUAUCUGGGGAAGCAGUGAAAUUGAAGAGCUUUUUGUUUUCUUGUAAAUAAGCAGCUGAAUGUGUCCUUCCUUUUGUUGUCCUGAGGCACGGAGGGGUUUGUGACACCUGAGAUACUGAUUUGAAGCGAAUAGGUGAUAUUAUUUCCACUGAUGGAGCUGGGGAGAUCCUUAAGGAAAGGCAAUAUUCAGUUUUGGUAUUUGCACUUUAAGGGAGGGCACAAGUGCAUUUAAAAGCUGUAGGUUUAGCAAACACCUACACAGAUGUAGUAAUCAGAGUAUUCAGGCUACCAAAAUAAAGCUUUAGAGGGGGAUUUGGCUGUGGUAUCUCAAUGUCAGCACCUGCAUCUGGUACUAAGGAGGUCUUUGCUCUAAUAGACCCAUCACUUCUCACCAAACUCUAGGAACAGAGUGCUCAGAAGAUGAGCACUUGAUUGGACUUAAGUGUGAUAAAUUCCAAAGGAAAGAAGAUGCUGAGAGUGAGAGCAAUUAACUGCUGGAACAGCCUCUUCAUGAAAAGCAGUGGAUCUGUCAGGACUGCUCGCCUCUUAAUUCACAACUAAACAGCUUUCUGAAAGGUUUGCUUCCCUUCAGAAGGUGGAACUCCUUAAACUGCCCUACCUGGGGCUGAACCCUGUGGUGGUCCUGGCCUUCUCCAGCCCCUGCUUGUGCUCAUUUUGCUGUAAUCGGGCACAAACCUGUGCUUCUCUUCACAGACACCUUUGGCGCAGCCACUCCCUUUAAGCUGCUAAGGAUAAUCUCGUUAAAACUCUGUGAUGAAUGCAACCUUCCUGAGUGGAAGGUUCUUCCAUUCCAAUUUAAAAUGUAUAUGACACAAGUGGGCUGUGAUCCUUGUCUGGCCCUCAGAGUGUGAACAUCAAGCACCCUGGGUUCCUUAUCUGGAUUUAAAACUUGGUCUCCAGCCAGGAGAAGAUGAUACAUCAGCCAUGGGAAGUUGUACCUUCCAAUGUCACUUCUACACUCAUUGUCCCUCAGCCUGGAGUACUGGCUUGGAGACAAGUGUUUUAAGUUCUUUUUAUGAAUCUGGAGGGUUUUCCGGCAAUUGGAAUGAAUCCUGCUUAAUGUAAUAAAAGCAGAUUGCUCUUUUUGAAUUUAACCAACAGGUCUGUGCCUGGCAGCUGGAGCAGACUCGCCACAAGCUGGUGUAAGGAGCUCUCGGCUGUGACCAGAUAUGCAGCAAUGCAUGAAAGGUGGGCAGGCUGAGGCAUUUAUAUACAAUAACAACUUGUUAGUACUCUGCCUACAAUUCUUUCAUUCCCAUUUCCCCAUCACUUGUUUUUUCCUUUCUAUUUAUUUCCCUUUUCCUCUUCCUGCUUCUCUCUUCCAUUCUUGUCUUCUGUUCUGUCUCACAUGUGUCAGCCUUUCUUGCCACAAAUCAAACCUAUUAGGAGCUCCAAAGGGAUUCUUGCCAAUGUCCUCUCUUUGUGAACUCUCCGGCUUUUUGUUGUUGUUGUUAAUCUGCAGUGUUCCGCAUUAUAUUGCCAUUGAUUUAAUAGACUACCAUGAAUUUUACUACCUGUCAACCAACACCACAAUUAUUUUGAAUUCUAUUGUGGCAGAGCUUGACACCCACCUCUGGAUCACUUUACACCUUUCACCCUUGCUAGAGCGCACUUGACAAUUAAGGAUAGGAUUAUGUGUGAUUGUGGGAUGGCAUUUUGUUACUGUUUUGAUUUGGUAUGUAGACAUUGAAUGAAAUGGCAGUUGAUGGAUUCAACGACUCCCACCUACUUGGAUCCACAAAUGUCACGUGGGAUGUGGACACUAAUACGGGGUGCUAGAAACCCAGACCAGUUUCCUUCUUCCCUCUUGCUGCCCUGGAUAAAUAAGGUGGGAAACACACUCAUCUUUAUGGUCAGUUCAUGGGCUGAUCCUGAAAGUUUCCAAGCAGGAUGCUGAGAUUUCUCUCUUGCUGGGUUGGCUGCACGUGCCUGGAGACGUGUUCCCUGUGGGCAGGUAAAAAUUGUCAUGUACUUUGAGAGCUGAGGUUGGCACUCACCAGUGUGCAGGAUAUUUCUUACAUGGAACAAUGAGUGGAUUACAUCUGCAUUAAAAUAGAGAAAAGGCUGGUUAAUUCAGGAUGAAUCAGCCCUUUGUAUCCCAUUUUAAAGAGCUCUUCCUAUCAUCUUGCAUAACCAGGAUAAAUUGUUUUUCAGAUGACAGGAACAACAGAUUGAGUCUGCAUCGUUCUCGGGGCUGUACACAUGCAGAAAAAGACUCCCAGCAACUUGUGUGCACCCUGUGAAUAGAUUUCAAGAUAGCAACAGGUUGCUUGGUGGAAAGUGUGGUCAAAGAAUUGAAUUACUUGCCCAAGGUCACACAGUGAGUAUGUGUUAGGCCUGGGAUCUGUCCUCCAGUGUCUUAAAGUUUUAUUCCAAGUUUUUUCCUUCAGUUUUUUUUUUUUUUUUCCCCUGCUGAAUGUGGUCCUUUCACAAAUAAAUGUUUUCCCUGGGAUCUGAAGCAGAUGGUUUUGGACUGUGAGCACAGACAGUUAUUUUGGUAACAGUGAUUGGUUUUGGGAGUUGUAACAGCGUGGCUUUUCCUCUUACGCAGCUUUCUUUUUGCCAAGGGGGAGCCCCCGGUUGAGUUCAAGGUGUAGUGUCAAUGUGUGAGGAUCCUCACCCUGCUCCAUCUCUGACUUAGGGCUUUGGGAGAUGUUUGUUCCGUCUCCCCUCUGCAGAGUGACACCUGCUACACAGAGAUGUAAUAAUUGAUCCGGAAGAGAGCUGCUGGCCCCUGGGCAUGAGUUGAGAGCUGUCUUGAGGCCACCAAGACCCAAUGGUCAAGCCUUCCAAGCUCAAGCCAACCUACUCUUGCUCUGGUUUGAGAGAGCAGGUUCAGCUCCUGUGACAAGUAAUGAUCCAUAUAGAUUAAAGAGGAGAGACUUUAUGCUUCUAGAUUGGCCUUGCAGUAGAGAAGGUUUACUGUCAUUUCGCUAAGGGUUGUUAUUCCCUUUCAGGAAGCUGGCAGGGUGCUACAGACAUCUUAUAGAAUGACAGAAGGGUUUGGGUUGAAGGGACCCUCCGAGUCAUGCGUUAUGUUCGUUUUGGAGAUCCCAGUCAGACAGAAUAAUUAGGUGGCAACACAAUUUACUGCCUGCAGCUCUCUAAAGCUCAGGAAGCGCUCUUUCAGCCCUCAGCUGGUAUUUAAUCAACGCAUGGUAACUUUUAUUAAGCCUAAAUGCAGUAGUUCUGAGAUACUAAAUCUAAAGUGUGCCUGGAAACUCGAGCCAUUUUUGUUGGAUUUACAUAUCGCAGCAUCAUGCAAACUGGGGGAAUGGGAUGACAAGGAGCCUGGAUGACAGUCUGGUCCCUGGGGAUGCUUCAGAGAUGUUUGUCCUGCUGUGAGACCUCUGAUACAUCAGGUAUUGGGACAGUAGGUUGUGGAUUGGAGCCUUUGAAGCCCCAGCUACUCUUACAGGUUAUGACAGGGCAGGUGAGUGAGCCCAAGAUCUGUGUGUGACGGUGGCUUCAGCUGCAUUUCCAGGAGCACUUCUGGCUCCUUGUGGAGAUGUUUUCUGCAGCACAGGUCCGUUGAUGGGGAAAAAUGCUUACACCCUCUGUAGGAUGUGGAUUCCUGCCUCUGGAAUGCUGUAGUGAUACACUGGGUAUCCUCUGACACCUUUCUGGGCAUGUUUUGGCACCUCCUUUGCUCUCCCCCGUACUGGUCCAGUCUUCCUUAAGACGGGCAGGCAAUCCCUGCAACCAGCAAGAAAUUCCAGUGGCAUCUGGGUGCCAGACACCCAGAACAGGUGGUUGCAACCAUACUUAGCCAAUUUGUGCCCAAACCACACCGAUUUCUGCGUUGUCCAAAGUUCUGUAAGCAGCGUUACAGAUGCUUGCAACAAGGCUGAAUGAUGGGAUGUUCCCGUUUCCAGUUGUGAUGGAUCGGGAAGAGAAUAGGAGUAAAUUUUACCUUGGUUUCUGAGAUCUAUGAGAAAACUCCCAGGCCAGCCUGUUGACACUGUGUUGGAUUUGACACUCCAGAACUUUGCCAAAUGUCAGAGACUGGCUUAAAAUGCUAAAGACAGUAUUUAAAACCCAUGGAAAUUCUAAAACAAGGAUGUUAUUAAAGUGGAAUUAAGGACAAAAGAGUUGCUAAUAUCUUCAAGAAAAGGGAGAAUAAGAACAUUUGGACUUUAAAUAGUAUUAGAAUAUUAGCUGAAAUCUAGAAAUAAGGUUUAUCUGGAAAGCAUUGUAUCUAAGAAGGUUUCAGUUAACGUAUGAGAUACUAGCUCAUAACGCGUUUUCUUGUGCCGAGGUUGUCCCUGUGUGUGCAACACAGGUUGUUGCCACCGAUCAGCUUGGAACUUGUUCUCAACCGUUGGCACGUGUGACCAGUGGUACGGGUUGAUGGUUUUAGAGCUGGAACCAAAAAAAUAUUCCGAGAAAGAAGAGGUUUUGCCAAAACUGAUUUUCCUUUUUAUUGAUGAAAAAAGCUGUGUGCAGGGCCAUCCUUUUGGGCUGGUGUCACUGCACCGAGCUGUGGCUGGAGGCGCGGAGGGUGGAAAAGCCAUUGAAGAAAGCAGAAAAGGUGGAGAAAAUGACUCACCGAAAGUUUGAAAAAAAUGAAAUAAAUAUUCCCCCAAAUCCAGGUGACAUCAAGAUGCAGGAGACUCGCUUGCUGUUGAUCACAGAGAACCAAAGCAUCUUGUAAGACCAAGAAAUAGUUCUCCCAAUGCCUGGGGGUGUCUGGAGAUGGAAGGAGAGCAGAGCAGCCCUGAGGCUCAUCUGAAAUGCUGGUGAAGGCAGAAGAUCCAGACCUGGAGGCCAACAACAGUCGAUGUGAGGCCACGUCUGGCUCUUCUUGUUGGUUGGAAGCCUUUCCUGACUCCCCAUCCUGGUGUUGGCCAAGUCAGAUGGGUCUGUACAUCUGUCAGCUUUAGCAGAAGAGGUUUGCCCUGAAGAUUGUCUGGACCUUGCGCAGCCCAGGGUUUCCACAAUAGGAAGGAAAUAGCACAUGCACUGAUUUUAUGGGGUUAAGGUUUUUCUACCACCUGAGAUCAGAAGUGAGUUGAUGCUUCCUGAGAGCAGGAACUCCUUUCAGAAACCACUGUGACAAGCAGCAUUUUUACCCCAGCUCCAAAGCUUCCAGUUAGAGCUUGGGAAAUCUUUUUCUUUCCCAAAGCACAUCAAGUCAUGUCAAAUUUGCUGACUUGUUUUGCUUGUAAUGUCAAAAAUUAUUUCCAGCUAGAAUACUUUGUUUAGGUGUUUGGUUUAUUUUUGUUUAGCUCUGCAAACAAAACCACCUCACUGGAAAGAAUUGGUUUUGUACUCAGUGCAAGGCUGUGCAGGCAGAGGCCUGAGGGGCCACAUUUUAUGCAGCUAAAACUCAGAGUAUUGAAGAGCUGCUGAUGGAAGGAUCACUGUUGAAUGUGCUGGGUGAGGUGAGGAUCCUCUGGAAAAAACAAAUCGGAUCCAAGUCAGGAGCAUCAGGGAUAUGAAGAGGGGAGACGAAAUCAAGUUUUAUGAGCACCUCUCAUUCUUCAGAGCAUGGAUUUGUCUAAUCUUCAUGUUGUUUAUGUGUGUGAUCCUACCUACACUGCUGUCUGUAUGGAGGUUUACACUGGGACAACAUCUGAUACUACAAUGCAUUUAUCUUGCUCGCUGUCCUAAUUGCCCUGAUGUCAGCAGUUAUUCCUGCAUCUUGGAGCCAGUGGCCAGGAACUUUUUCCAUUUUCCUCCAUGUGAAGCACGUUCCCUCCUUCAUCUUGAAAAGCAAAACUUCACUUUCCUACAGGAACCUGUAGAAGUGAGCUGAAUAAUGUGCAGCUUAAACCGGGGCCUGAUCUGACAUUUCUUUUAACAGCGUGAUACAGCGCGGACAUGGGUUGAGAGCGAAAUGCCCCGUCUCCCAGCGUCGCGCUCCUGAUUUCGGAUGGAGGAGCUGCCAGCAGCUCUACUUUUGGGUUGUUCAUGAGAGCGGCAAGUGAUCCCGGCAGCUCUGGGCUUUUUGACGCAGAGCUUCUCUACUUCUGGCUCCUUAUGACCUUCAUGGCGGUUCGUUAGAAUUUGCUGAAGCUUUGUUGCCUGCCUUAUGAUGGUGGCUUCUGCAAAGUGCAACAUCUCCUAGGCAUUUCACAUGAUGGUUCUUUUCUGGUGGUUGGAUCGCAGAAAUUAAGCAAGAAAAUUGAAAAUAGUUCAUUCUUCUAUCAAGGUGAGUAUUGUCC